rnacentral:rRNA from 1 species
AACCUCCGCAAUGUGAGAAAUCGCGACGGGGGGAUCCCAAGUGCCAUUCUAACGGGAUGGCUUUUCAUUAGUGUAAAGAGCUUUUGGAAUAAGGGCUGGGCAAGACCGGUGCCAGCCGCCGCGGUAACACCGGCAGCUCUAGUGGUAGCAGUUUUUAUUGGGCCUAAAGCGUCCGUAGCCGGUUUAAUAAGUCUCUGGUGAAAUCCUGUAGCUUAACUGUGGGAAUUGCUGGAGAUACUAUUAGACUUGAGACCGGGAGAGGUUAGAGGUACUCCCAGGGUAGAGGUGAAAUUCUGUAAUCCUGGGAGGACCGCCUGUUGCGAAGGCGUCUAACUGGAACGGUUCUGACGGUGAGGGACGAAAGUUAGGGGCGCGAACCGGAUUAGAUACCCGGGUAGUCCUAACCGUAAACGAUGCGGACUUGGUGUUGGGGUGGCUUUGAGCUGCUCCAGUGCCGAAGGGAAGCUGUUAAGUCCGCCGCCUGGGAAGUACGGUCGCAAGACUGAAACUUAAAGGAAUU